rnacentral:rRNA from 1 species
UUGGAGGGCAAGUCUGGUGCCAGCAGCCGCGGUAAUUCCAGCUCCAAUAGCGUAUAUUAAAGUUGUUGCAGUUAAAAAGCUCGUAGUUGAAUUUCGGGAUCAAUUUAUUGGUCGUGCCAACGGUACGCACUGGUACAAUUGGUUUCUCCCUUCUGACGAAGCAUGAUGUCAUUAAUUUGAUGUCGUGGGGAAUCAGGACUGUUACUUUGAAAAAAUUAGAGUGUUUAAAGCAGGCUUUGGCUUGAAUACAUUAGCAUGGAAUAAUGAAAUAGGACGUUUGAUCUUAUUUCGUUGGUUUCUAAGAUCGACGUAAUGAUUAAUAGGGAUAGUUGGGGGCAUUAGUAUUCAAUUGUCAGAGGUGAAAUUCUUGGAUUUAUUGAAGACUAACUACUGCGAAAGCAUUUGCCAAGGAUGUUUUCAUUAAUCAAGAACGAAAGUUAGGGGAUCGAAGACGAUCAGAUACCGUCGUAGUCUUAACCAUAAACUAUGCUGACUAGGGAUCGGACGAUGUUAAUUUUUCUUGACUCGUUCGGCGCCUUACGGGAAAC